CAAGGUACAAGUGGAGCCCAAGAGUGACCAGGCUACCCUACAGGUUCCAGUCAUCUCUCUAUCUAGGCAGGCACUGAUGCCAGCACACAGUCAACCAGCCAGUCAGUCAGCCAGCUAGCAGCGUCUAGUGUAUUCUCUACCUGCUUCACUCCCUUCACAGACCUAGCCAGGACAUGGUGAGGACCAAGGAGAAUAGUGAACGUGCUGGUAAAAGGGACAGCUGUCUCAUCCCUGCAAGGCCAAAUUCGGCCUGAUGUUGCCAGGAACGACACUUCCCCCCUUUUGAGAUCCUUGGUCGCCACCACUCCAAAGGAGACACUUCCCUUACAAAGAACGCUCACAAGGUGUGUAAGCCAGAGGAAGUCCACCAAAGGCUUUUCCACCAAAGGCGUGUUGGUGAUCUGACUGGCAGGAAGAGCAGGCUGAACACACUUUAGGGGCUCUGGUAGUUAUACCAGGGGCCAGCCAGACUCUCUUAACAGAGUCCACGAUGCCCGGGGUACCAAAGUGGCCAUUAUGAUGAACAGAUGGGUAAAUUUGGUGAUGAAAACUUCUAGGGAGCAGGGGUUUU
rnacentral:lncRNA from 1 species